CUGGUGUACAAUGGCUGCAAAUAGCAUUCUCCUUGUUAGUGCAUGCAAUCUGUUUCUUGUAUGGGUUGCUCUAAGGGACCUCGAAGACAGUC
ensembl:snoRNA SNORA70 Small nucleolar RNA SNORA70